rnacentral:lncRNA from 1 species
UUAUCAUCAAGCACCAAUUUUCUAACUAAUAUGUAUCAUCAACCACCAAUUUCUUUCAAAACUCUUUUAUUAAUUUUUGAGUCAUUAACCACCAAUUUCUUUCAAAACCCUUUUAUUAAUUUAACUAAUAUGUAUCAUCAACCACCAAUUUCUUUCAAAACCCUUUUAUUAAUUUUUCUUGCCUACUCCUACAUUUUCUUUCUCCUCUGAU